GUGGAUGUGCGGUCUUGUGCUCUUAAACUUUUGUUGUUUUUACCUACGGUGUAGUGAUUUUGUGCUUGAAAUAUUUAACUAUGCCUCCUAAGCGUCCGAUGUCAAGCCCUGGGCCAUCAGCCAAGCAGUAGAAAACCGCUUUAACACUUGAAAAAGAGUUAGAAAUUAUAAACAGGGCGGUGUCAGGUGAAGGUAACACAGCUCUGGAAUGUUACUUCGGCCUGGAAUUCUUUUGAAGACCCUGACCUGGAGUUACAUGCUGACUUCGGUUCUCUGCAAGAAUGAGACCUGCUCUUGGGGCGUUCAGACUGGCCAUUAUCCGACAUGCCAAGGGUGUGGCCUAAGAGUUCAGCUCGCCUUUGGAGGCCUAGGGUCUCGGGGCUCUGGAGAUGAGUGGAUCAAAGAUGCUGCCUGGCCUUCUGAGUUCCUCCAGCAUUUUGUGUGUGUUGCUCAAGAUUUUCAGCAUCCAUAGAGUCUAUUGUGUUUAGCUUUCGUAUCAGCUGGAAGGGUGCGCCAUCUUCUGGUAGGUAAUUUGCACUGCAACACUCCAUUUUAUACUUUUAAACUGUGUAAUUUUUCCAUUGCUUAUUCCUCCCUUCUUGUUCCAAAUAAGUAAGGAAGAUAAACUUGUCUUAACUAAACAAGAGAAGAUCCCAAUGGUACGACAGGAAUGAUACGAGCUUGGAUGAAAGAUUGGUUGACUGACAGGAGGCAAAGACUAAGGAUAAAGGGGCCUUUUCUGAUUGACUGCUGGUGACUAGUGGUAUUCUGCAAUUGGAGAAUUUGCUGUUGGGAGUUACAGUAUGCCUCUCUGGAGAUGGUCUUGAGGAUGUUCACAAGAUUGAUCCUGGGAAUGAAAGGGUUAACAUAUGGCGAACAUUUGAUGGUUCUGGGCCUGUACUCAUUGACGUUCAGAAGAGUGGGGGGGGGGCAGAAUCUCAUUAAAACUGAUCGAAUAUUGAAAGGCCUAGAUAAAGUGGACAUGGAGAGGAUGUUUCCUAUAGUUGGAGAGUCUAGGAUCAGAGGGCAGAGCCUCAGAAUAGAAGGAUGACCCUUUUGAGAGAUGAAAAGAAAUUUAUUUUGCCAGAGAAUGGUGUAUCUGUAGAAUUCAUUGCCAUAGACAGCUCUGGAGAUCAAGUCACUGGGUAUAUUUAGAGUGGAGAUUAGUAGGUUCUUAAUUAGUUAGAGCAUCAAAGGUUACAGAGAGAAGGCAAGAGAAAGCAGCUGAGAGUGAUAUUAAAUCAGACAUAAUAGAAUAGUGGAACAGAUUCAAUGGUCUAAUUCUGUUUCUAUGUCUUGUGGUCGGAAUGCUAACUUUUACUGCAAAGGGACUGGAGUCUAAAAAUAGGAAAAUCUUGUUACAACUUUACAGAGCAUUGAAGAAAUCAAUAUAGCAUUAGAACACAGACCAGUACAGCACAAGAACAGGUCCUUUGGAUACACCAUGUUCACAACAAUCAUGAUGCCCAUAUAACUAACUCCAUCUGCCUACAGGUUGUCCAUGUCCUUCCCUGCCUGUUUAUGUGUCUGUUGAAAUGCAUCUUAAACCCAUGAAGACCCAUGUAGGUCACCAAACACAACCCUGAACUGCAUUUUCCUGGGGGCAUACUCAGCAAAUCUACAGAAUAGUAACUAUAACAGAUCAAUGAAAGAUCAACCAGAGUGCAGAAGACAAUGUAAAGGGGGUUUCUUCUUUUUCUUUGUUACUGUGUAUGUAAUCAAAAUGGCUUCUUUGUUUUGUUAAAAGUAGGACUGCUUCUUUGUUGCGAGAGAAUGCUGGAAGCUUGUUUGGGUUAAAAUUUACUGAUAACGAGAAUUGUAUUCCUUUGUAAACCAAUUGGGAUUAAUGUUGUUCUUUCUUCUGAGUCUGUAAGCUAUUGUUGGCGGGCUUUUGGGCAGAUCGGCGCAAGGGGGUGAGAGAGAGAGGACGCGAUGCUGUAAGCUGGGCGAGGAACGGACCCCAAGCGGGAGUUCGAGGCCAGGAGGUACUCCGAGGAGAGGAGAUGAAGCUAGAUGUGCUUGGUUGACCACUCGGAGGGUCCUGAGCUGCGAGUCGAGGAGUUCGGAGGGGAUCGAAUGGUGGCCAGAAGACUUCAGUAAUUGAGCUCCAACGGUUGUGCACAAAGUGGUUUGGACUUUGAUAAGUUUGGCGCCUUUUCUUUAUUUUUUUUCCUUCAUAUAUACUGUAUCAUUAUUAAUCACUUAGUUAUAGUAACCUUUAUAAAUUGUACUCAUUU